ensembl:lncRNA
GUUGAAUCAUUUAGAUAACACCCUAUAAUAAAACUGUAUUGGAGAGGGGUUGAAUCAUAUCAGAUUAACACCCUAUAUCUACACCCUUUAUCACUCUGCAAGCGGUCAACUAAAUAAACAAAUAUAGAACAUAGAACAAUGUAGUGAGAAACUAAAUAAACAAAUAUAGAACAUAGAACAAUGUAGUGAGAAACUAAAUAAACAAAUAUAGAACAAUCUAGUGAGAAUCUAAAUAAACUAAUAUAGAACAUUCUAGUGCUUUAGGCAGCUGGUACUGGAACUAUCCCAACGUGGAAACCAGUUUAAAAGGAUGCUUUCAAUUAACAAGGGCACAAUCUAUAUUUUUAUCAUAUAGGUCUGAAAACCAGCCAAUUAAAAACAUACAGUCUUCAAGUGCCUCUUUUGACUGUGUCUCUCAUUCAAGCCAAAGGCAAGUUGGUAUGUGUCUCAUCAUACAUAUUAUCAAGAGCAGGACUAAAUAAAUAGUCGUACUACACUGUACUGUCCAUCCAUGGUGUCAAACAUCUUAGCAGCUAAGCCUCUACAGCCAGCUGAAACAUAUAACGUUACAACAUAGCAGCUAAGCCUCUACAGCCAGCUGAAACAUAUAACGUUACAACAUAGCAGCUAAGCCUCUACAGCCAGCUGAAACAUAUAACGUUACAACAUAGCAGGUAAGCCUCUACAGCCAGCUGAAACAUAUAACGUUACAACAUAGCAGGUAAGCCUCUACAGCCAGCUGAAACAUGAAACGUUACAACACAGCA